rnacentral:rRNA from 1 species
CCUACGGGAGGCAGCAGUGGGGAAUAUUGCACAAUGGGGGAAACCCUGAUGCAGCGACGCAGCGUGAGUGAAGAAGUAAUUCGUUAUGUAAAGCUCUAUCAGCAGGGAAGAAAAUGACGGUAACUGAACAAGAAGCCCCGGCUAACUACGUGCCAGCAGCCGCGGUCAUACGUAGGGGGCAAGCGUUAUCCGGAUUUACUGGGUGGAAAGGGAGCGCAGACGGCAGUGCAAGUCUGGAGUGAAAGCCCGGGGCCCAACCCCGGAACUGCUCUGGAAACUGUGCGGCUAGAGUACUGGAGGGGCAGGCGGAAUUCCUAGUGUAGCGGUGAAAUGCGUAGAUAUUAGGAGGAACACCAGUGGCGAAGGCGGCCUGCUGGACAGUAACUGACGUUGAGGCUCGAAAGCGUGGGGAGCAAACAGGAUUAGAUACCCUUGUAGUC